GAUAACCAGCUUGUAGCAGUCGAGUGUUCAUAGUGACGUUGCUUUUUGCCCCUUUGGUGCCACCUCUUCCUAUCAUGGUGAAGCAGAAUUCACUGUGCACUGGACUGCUCACCCACUAACAGGGACCGUGAGCUGGGCUUAGACUAUCGUGAGAAAGGCC
rnacentral:ncRNA from 1 species